UACAGAGACCUCAAGCGUUAUCCGGAUUUAUUGGGCGUAAAGCGUCCGCAGGUGGCUUGGCAAGUCUGGGGUUAAAAUCAUUCGCUCAACGAAUGUUCAGCCUUGGAUACUAUCAAGCUAGAGGCCGGAAGAGGUAAGCGGAAUUGCGGGUGUAGUCGUAAUAAGCGUUGAUAUCCGCAAGAACACCAAAUGCGAAGGCAGCUUACUAGAACGCGCCUGACACUAAAGGACUAAAGCGUGGGGAGCGAACGGG
rnacentral:rRNA from 1 species